UGUCACCAUACCCUCUAGCCAUUGCUUGUAAUUCCGGUAAUACAUUGCCUUAUCUUCUACCUCUUUCGUCUUCUUCAUCAAUCUCUCACCAGCAGCAGCGAUAAUGUCAGCCCUUUCUCUCUCUACAACGCCGCCGCGCUCCCGCGACCUCUCCACCACCCUCUCUCAAUCACUUCCAGUUUACCGUUCUUCUUUCAACCCCAUCAAGAUUCUUCUGAAUAGCAGUUUUAUCGUUCGAAAUUGUUCUUCCGGUUCGUCUCCGAUCACCUCCAAGCAUGAGAAUCGUAGCCAUAGCGGAUUUGAGCAUGAUCAGAAGCUCACCUCUCUCCGUGAGAUUUUCCGGAAGCCUGGUGUUCAUAUUGAUGCCUAUAUUAUCCCCUCUCAGGAUGCUCACCAGAGUGAAUAUAUUGCUGAGUGUUAUAUGAGGAGGGCCUAUAUAUCAGGUUUUACCGGUAGUGCUGGCACUGCAGUUGUUACAAGUCAUAAGGCAGCUCUUUGGACAGAUGGGAGAUAUUACCUCCAGGCUGAGAAGCAGUUAAGCUCGAGCUGGACCCUAAUGCGAUCUGGUAGCUCGGGUGUCCCUAGCACUGCCGAGUGGCUAAAUGAUGUUUUAGCUGAUGGUAGCAGAAUCGGCAUCGAUCCCUUUCUUUUUUCUUCUGACGCUGUAAAUGAAUUAAAGGAAAGCGUAGCUAAAAGCAAUCAUGAGUUAGUUUACUUAUAUGGUGUUAAUCUUGUGGACGAAAUAUGGAAAGAAGCAAGGCCGUUGCCUACAAGCAAACCAAUUCGAGUGCACGAACUUAAAUAUGCCGGUGUAGAUGCAUCAAUGAAACUAGCUAACCUGAGGUGUGACCUCAUUAACCAUGGUUCAUCUGCAAUUGUAAUCUCUAUGCUCGAUGAAGUUGCCUGGCUACUGAACCUGAGAGGAAACGAUGUUCCACAUUCUCCUGUUAUGUACGCGUACUUGAUAGUGGAGCUUGAUUCAGCAAAACUGUUUGUUGAUAGUUCCAAAGUUACCCCUGAAGUGAUGGACCACUUGAAGAAAGCUGGCGUAGAGUUACGAGCAUAUGACUCUAUUCUUUCUGAAAUUGAAAAGUUAGCGGCUAGAGGGGCCCACCUUUGGUUAGACACAUCGUCCAUUAAUGCUGCUAUUUCAAGCACAUAUGCAACUGCCUGUGAUAAAUAUACAGAAACAAAUGGUAGUAAACGCAAAGGGAAGAAUUCGUCUGGGGCACCGACCGCAUUAUGUAAAAGCUCUCCCGUGUCCCUUGCUAAAGCAGUUAAAAAUCAUGCUGAGCUAAAAGGGAUGCGUAAUUCUCAUUUAAGGGAUGCAGCUGCUCUUACUGAGUUUUGGUCAUGGCUGGAGGAGGAAAUGAAUAAAAACGUGGUACUUACAGAAGUAGAAGUUGCGGACAAGCUUCUUGAAUUCCGUGCAAGUCAAGCUGGAUUUGUUGAUACUAGCUUCGAUACUAUAAGUGGUUCUGGUGCGAACGGUGCUAUUAUACAUUACAGAGCAGAACCAGAUAGCUGUAGUAUUGUGGAUACGCAGAAGCUCUUCCUACUAGACAGUGGGGCCCAGUAUCUUGAUGGGACCACUGACAUAACUCGGACAGUACAUUUUGGUCAACCUUCUGAACGACAAAAAGAAUGCUUCACACGAGUUCUUCAGGGCCAUAUAGCUCUAGAUCAAGCAGUGUUUCCUGAAAAUACUCCUGGUUUUGUACUGGAUGCAUUUGCACGCUCUUCACUUUGGAAGGUUGGACUUGAUUACCGACAUGGGACGGGGCAUGGGGUAGGAGCUGCAUUGAAUGUUCAUGAAGGCCCACAAAGUAUUAGCUUUCGAUUUGGAAAUAUGACUCCUUUGCUCAAAGGCAUGAUUGUUAGCAAUGAACCAGGAUAUUAUGAGGACCAUGCUUUUGGCAUUCGUAUUGAGAGUAAUCGAGCCGGGGGUCUCACUGGAAGCAGCCUCUCUAUUCCUACGGGGUAGAGAAUCUUCUAUAUGUCAAAGAGAUUGACACUCCUAAUCGUUUUGGAGGAAUUGCCUAUAUUGGAUUUGAGAAGCUUACUUUUGUCCCUAUACAGACAAAAUUGAUUGAUUUGACCUUGCUCUCUGCUUCUGAGGUUAAUUGGCUCAAUGAUUACCAUUCACAAGUUUGGGAGAAGGUUUCAUCAUUGGUAGAUGGGUCUGCACGUGAGUGGCUUUGGAAAAACACACGUGCAGUUGCAAAACCAUGAUUCUUUGUAUUGUUGAAGACUACAUGUGUAUACAAUAAGGGUUUUAAAUAUGUUAUUUGUAUAUAGAACAAUGUGUUGGGAAGGGAGUCACUGAAUAGAUAUGUGGUUGAUAAUCAAAACAUAUUAAUAGAAGUGGAUUAUUUGUUUUUGA